rnacentral:rRNA from 1 species
GAUGAACGCUGGCGGCGUGCCUAAUACAUGCAAGUCGAGCGAACAGAUUAGGAGCUUGCUCCUCUGACGUUAGCUGCGGACGGGUGAGUAACACGUGGAUAACCUACCUAUAAGACUGGGAUAACUUCGGGAAACCGGAGCUAAUACCUGAUAAUAUAUUGAACCGCAUGGUUCAAUAGUGAAAGGCGGUUUUGCUGUCACUUAUAGAUGGAUCCGCGCCGCAUUAGCUAGUUGGUAAGGUAACGGCUUACCAAGGCAACGAUGCGUAGCCGACCUGAGAGGGUGAUCGGCCACACUGGAACGGAGACACGGUCCAGACUCGUAAGGGAGGCAGCAGUAGGGAAUCUUCGGCAAUGAGCGGAAGCCUGAAGGAGGAAAGCGGCGUGAGUGAUGAGGGUCUUCGGAUCGUAAAACUCUGUGAUUAGGGAAGAACAAAUGUGUAAGUAACUAUGCACGUAUUGACGGUACCUAAUCAGAAAGCCACGGCUAACUACGUG